AUUGAACGCUGGCGGAAUGCUUUACACAUGCAAGUCGAGCGGCAGCGCGGGGGCAACCCUGGCGGCGAGCGGCGAACGGGUGAGUAACAUAUCGGAACGUACCCCGUCGUGGGGGAUAACACAGCGAAAGCUGUGCUAAUACCGCAUACGACCUGAGGGUGAAAGCGGGGGAUCGCAAGACCUCGCGCGAUGGGAGCGGCCGAUAUCGGAUUAGCUUGUUGGUGAGGUAAAGGCUCACCAAGGCGACGAUCCGUAGCUGGUCUGAGAGGACGACCAGCCACACUGGAACUGAGACACGGUCCAGACUCCUACGGGAGGCAGCAGUGGGGAAUUUUGGACAAUGGGCGAAAGCCUGAUCCAGCCAUGCCGCGUGAGUGAAGAAGGCC
rnacentral:rRNA from 1 species